UCCAACGCGUUGGGAGCUCUCCCAUAUGGUCGACCUGCAGGCGGCCGCGAAUUCACUAGUGAUUAGAGUUUGAUCAUGGCUCAGAAUAAACGUUGGCGGCGUGCCUAACACAUGCAAGUCGAGCGAGAAAGUUCCUUCGGGAGCAAGUAGAGCGGCGGACGGGUGAGUAACGCGUGAGAAUCUGCCCUUUAGUGAGGAAUACCCUUAAGAAAUUGAGGUUAAUACUGCAUACGUCCCUUCGGGGAGAAAGAUGGCUUUAUGCUGUCGCUAAAGGAUGAGCUUGCGUUCUAUUAGUUAGUUGGUGAGGUAAAGGCUCACCAAGACGAUGAUGGAUAGCCGSCCUGAGAGGGCGAACGGCCACACUGGAACUUAGACACGGUCCAGACUCCUACGGGAGGCAGCAGUGAGGAAUAUUGCACAAUGGGCGAAAGCCUGAUGCAGCGACGCCGCGUGGAGGAUGACGGUCUUCGGAUUGUAAACUCCU
rnacentral:rRNA from 1 species